AAAGUGGAGCAAUCCAUGAGUAAAGUGGCGUACGGGUGAGUAACACGUGGAUCAUCUACCCUCUAGUGGGGAAUACCGCUGGGAAACCGGCGACAAUACCGCAUAAGCUCGAGAGAGGAAAGCAGCAAUGCGCUGGAGGAGGAGUCCGCGGUCGAUUAGUUAGUUGGCGGGGUAAAGGCCCACCAAGACUGUGAUCGAUAGCCGGCCUGAGAGGGCACACGGCCACACUGGCACUGAAACACGGGCCAGACUCCUACGGGAGGCAGCAGUGGGGAAUCUUGCACAAUGGGGGAAACCCUGAUGCAGCGACGCCGCGUGAGCGAUGAAGCCCCUCGGGGUGUAAAGCUCUUUCGGCAGGGAAGAUUAUGACGGUACCUGCAAAAGCAGCUGCGGCUAACUACGUGCCAGCAGCCGCGGUAAUACGUAGGCAGCAAGCGUUGUUCGGAGUUACUGGGCGUAAAGGGUGCGUAGGCGGCUUUUUAAGUUUGGUGUGAAAUCUCCCGGCUCAACUGGGAGGGUGCGCCGAAUACUGAGAGGCUAGAGUGUGGGAGAGGAAAGUGGAAUUCCUGGUGUAGCGGUGAAAUGCGUAGAUAUCAGGAGGAACACCGGUGGUGUAAACGGCUUUCUGGACCAUAACUGACGAUGAGGCACGAAAGCGUGGGUAGCAAACAGGAUUAGAUACCCUGGUAGUCCACGCCCUAAACGAUGCANAUUUGGUGUGGGCCAUUCAUUUGGUCUGUGCCGGAGCUAACGCGUUAAAUAUGCCGCCUGGGGAGUACAGUCGCAAGGCUGAAACUC
rnacentral:rRNA from 1 species